GACGAACGCUGGCGGCGUGCUUAACACAUGCAAGUCGAACGGAAAGGCCCUGCUUUUGUGGGGUGCUCGAGUGGCGAACGGGUGAGUAACACGUGAGUAACCUGCCCUUGACUUUGGGAUAACUUCAGGAAACUGGGGCUAAUACCGGAUAGGAGCUCCUGCUGCAUGGUGGGGGUUGGAAAGUUUCGGCGGUUGGGGAUGGACUCGCGGCUUAUCAGCUUGUUGGUGGGGUAGUGGCUUACCAAGGCUUUGACGGGUAGCCGGCCUGAGAGGGUGACCGGCCACAUUGGGACUGAGAUACGGCCCAGACUCCUACGGGAGGCAGCAGUGGGGAAUAUUGCACAAUGGGCAGAAGCCUGAUGCAGCAACGCCGCGUGCGGGAUGACGGCCUUCGGGUUGUAAACCGCUUUCGCCUGUGACGAAGCGUGAGUGACGGUAAUGGGUAAAGAGACACCGGCUAACUACGUG
rnacentral:rRNA from 1 species